UACGGAGGGAGCUAGCGUUGUUCGGAAUUACUGGGCGUAAAGCGCGCGUAGGCGGCUUUGUAAGUUAGAGGUGAAAGCCCGGGGCUCAACUCCGGAAUUGCCUUUAAGACUGCAUCGCUAGAAUCCGGGAGAGGUGAGUGGAAUUCCGAGUGUAGAGGUGAAAUUCGUAGAUAUUCGGAAGAACACCAGUGGCGAAGGCGGCUCACUGGACUGGUAUUGACGCUGAGGUGCGAAAGCGUGGGGAGCAAACAGG
rnacentral:rRNA from 1 species